rfam:Termitomyces sp. J132 unplaced genomic scaffold scaffold209, whole genome shotgun sequence.
GACCAUGUAGCUCAGUGGUUAGAGCAUCACAUGGAGUAUAUAUUCAAGAGGUCCCAGGUUCAACUCCUGGUAUGGUCA